AUUGGAAACGAUAGCUAAUACCGCAUAAAAGGAGCUAACCCAUGUUAGCUUUAAAAAAGGUGCAACAGCAUCACUUAAAGAUGGACCUGCGUUGUAUUAGCUAGUUGGUAAGGUAACGGCUUACCAAGGCUUCGAUACAUAGCCGACCUGAGAGGGUGAUCGGCCACACUGGGACUGAGACACGGCCCAGACUCCUACGGGAGGCAGCAGUAGGGAAUCUUCGGCAAUGGGGGGAACCCUGACCGAGCAACGCCGCGUGAGUGAAGAAGGUUUUCGGAUCGUAAAGCUCUGUUAUAAGCGAAGAACAGGAGUAAGAGUGGAAAGUUUACUCUAUGACGGUAGCUUAUCAGAAAGGGACGGCUAACUACGUGCCAGCAGCCGCGGUAAUACGUAGGUCCCGAGCGUUGUCCGGAUUUAUUGGGCGUAAAGCGAGCGCAGGUGGUUUAAUAAGUCUGAAGUUAAAGGCAGUGGCCCAACCAUUGUACGCUUUGGAAACUGUUAAACUUGAGUGCAGAAGGGGAGAGUGGAAUUCCAUGUGUAGCGGUGAAAUGCGUAGAUAUAUGGAGGAACACCGGUGGCGAAAGCGGCUCUCUGGUCUGUAACUGACACUGAGGCUCGAAAGCGUGGGUAGCGAACAGGAUUAGAUACCCUGGUAGUCCACGCCGUAAACGAUGAGUGCUAGGUGUUGGGUCCUUUCCGGGACUCAGUGCCGCAGCUAACGCAUUAAGCACUCCGCCUGGGGAGUACGACCGCAAGGUUGAAACUCAAAGGAAUUGACGGGGGCCCGCACAAGCGGGGGAGCAUGUGGUUUAAUUCGAAGCAACGCGAAGAACCUUACCAGGUCUUGACAUCCCGGUGCCGGUUCUAGAGAUAGAACUUUUCUUAGGAACACUGGAGACAGGUGGUGCAUGGUUGUCGUCAGCUCGUGUCGUGAGAU
rnacentral:rRNA from 1 species